rnacentral:rRNA from 1 species
GAGAAGCUUGCUUCUCUGAUGGUUAGCGGCGGACGGGUGAGUAACACGUAGGCAACCUGCCCUCAAGUUUGGGACAACUACCGGAAACGGUAGCUAAUACCGAAUAGUUGUUUUCUUCUCCUGAAGAGAACUGGAAAGACGGAGCAAUCUGUCACUUGGGGAUGGGCCUGCGGCGCAUUAGCUAGUUGGUGGGGUAACGGCUCACCAAG